AGCAGUGCCGCGGUAAUACGAAGGGGGCUAGCGUUGUUCGGAUUUACUGGGCGUAAAGGGCGCGUAGGCGGGCGAAUAAGUCAGGGGUGAAAUCCCAAGGCUCAACCUUGGAACUGCCUUUGAUACCGUUUGUCUUGAGUUCGAGAGAGGUAAGUGGAACUGCGAGUGUAGAGGUGAAGUUCGUAGAUAUUCGCAAGAACACCAGUGGCGAAGGCGGCUUACUGGCUCGAAACUGACGCUGAGGCGCGAAAGCGUGGGGAGCAAACAGGAUUAGAUACCCCAGUAGUCCCUGUCUCUUAUACA
rnacentral:rRNA from 1 species